ACAAAUUUCAAUGUCUUUACAGGAAUAAAAUUAAACAUUGCUAGAAGAAGAGAAUUUUCAAGCAGAAGGCAUAAUGAACCAUGAACUCCCCAAUCACCUACUGCCAUGGAUCACAGACAGGAAAGAAUAUAGCCCUGCAUGUUUUGCAAGAAUCAAAUCAAAUAUUGCUGGAAGAAGAGAGGCUUAUAAAGUAGUAGGCAUAAUGAACAAUGGAGUCCCCAAUAACCAAGGGCCAUGGAUCAGAGACAGGAAUAAAAGUAAACAUUGCUAGAAGAAGAGAAUUUUCAAGCACAAGACAUAAUGAACAAUGAACUCUCCAAUCACCUGCUGCCAAGGAUCACAGACAGGAAAGAAUAUAGCCCUUCAUGUAUGUAUACUUUUUCAAUUAAAGUCAUUUACAACAAAAUUGCGUUCCAUGAGAGGUUUGAAUGACUAUUUUUAGAAAAUGCAAACUUACAUGCCAUGGGUUAUUCUUCCUUCAGCUUCAUACUCAUGCUUAUUUCCUUUAGAUUUCUAUAUUUGUGAGCUGCUCAAGAUCCACUAGACACCCUAAAACUCCAUUAUUUAUUUCACUCUUUGAACAAUGUGUCUUACCUUCAGGGCUUCAGUACCUACAGCACCAAAUUCUUCAUUUUGAGCGAGAUGUAUUUUCAGAAUUCAGAACUGUCUAAUGUAAGAUGAUUUUCUGAAAAGGAAACCUUUAAUCCUUUAAGUUUUGCAAGAAUCAAAUCAAAUAUUGCUGGAAGAAGAGGCUUAUCAAGUAGUAGGCAUAAUGAACAAUGGAGUCCCCAAUAACCAAGGACCAUGGAUCAGAGACAGGAAUAAAAGUAAACAUUGCUAGAAGAAGAGGAUUUUCAAGCAGAAGACAUAAUGAACCAUGAACUCCCCAAUCACCUGCUGCCAAGGAUAACAGACAGGAAAGAAUAUAGCCCUGCAUG